UCUUUGUUUUAAUAUCAAGGACAUUUGUAAACUGAGGGAGACUCUUGUCUUGCAGGAUUGUCAUUUCUACAAGUUAACUAUAUGUUUUUCCUUUCCUUAGCUUUGGGGCAGUCAG